UGAACAUGGAAUAUGGCCUUGACCGAUCUAUUGGAAAAGCAAUAAUGCAAGCUGCUGAAGAGGUUGCAGAGGGAAAGUUGAAUUACCACUUCCCUUUGGUGGUUUGGCAAACUGGUAGUGGCUUUCAUGAACUUGCAGGUCCUAUGAGGGCUUGUUCUAAGCUUGAGCCUUAUUAAUUGCUUCUAGCAGGUCCAGAAAUAAUCUUAAUGCUUAAAAUCUAUCCAAAGAAACGGUCUUCACGGAAAAAACAAAAUUUGAUGCUCUAAAAGUUAAUUUAAGCUUUUCUCUGUGAUUGAGCUUGUCCUCCUCCUAUAGGGCUUCUCAUCUCGUUGUUACUAACUUCUUGUUUCCGGAAAAAAAUAUUAUCACUUCAAUAUGGACAAAUUACAAACUACCUCUUGUACUAUGACUCAUUUGCAAAUACUUCCAGGAUAAACGUGUCCCCUAACACUUAUACACUUGAGUAUAAACAGUCACAUGGAAAAAAAUUCAUUACUGUCCUUUAUUGCUACCAGAGGCAAGGAAAAAAAUAAAAACAAAUAAGUUGGUACAGGGGAAGGGUAAGGAAUGCCAAAUUCUUGUGGAGUUCUCUGCAUCUGAAACCCGGUGUGCUAAUUUUCAAUGUUCUUGGGUUUCAAUAGUUCCGGAUUUGACGUGAAGCUUGAUUAGAGAAGGUAGGAAUUGGGCUACAUUAAGGGUGGGAAGAUUGCACAUAAGGAGAUGGGUGCAGUGACCGAGGUGGGUUUUGCCCACGAUUAAGUAUAUGUAAUUUCAUUGGUGACUUCUGUGUAAUGCUUUUUCUCGUCAAAAAGGUAAUUUUAUCUGUUAGUAUUACAUUAUGGCAUUAUGCCAAUCUAUUUCGUAAUUAAACAAUGACUUGGGUGAUACAAAGGGUGAUGUUGGAUACAAAAAUUUGUCCGGUUACAUACCUGAUGGAACCUAAGAUUUCAAAAUGUAGGUCUUGAUAUUAAUACCGUGAAUCAAAUGUCUGAGCUCAUUCCAAAGAAUGUACGAUGUAUUGGCAAACACCUGAUUGUUGAAUUUGAAAAAGUGUUCCCUGCUCUUGAUAUGCAGAGCGUGAUCUAUUUUAGUUUAGAUGGCAUGUAGUUAAGUAUCCCACAUUGGCUGUGGGAAAUUUGUUGGUGUUUCCUUAUAUGAUUUUGGGCAAUUAUCAUCUUCUGAGCUAACAUAUGGGGGAAAUUAGGUUCAGGGUCCAUUUUCUCCACAUGGUAUUAGAGAAAGUCAUCCCUAUUCUUGGUUUACCCAUAUGUUCGGCCCUUAUACUGUAUUGUCUAUGCACCAGAUGUUCAGUCCUGGGCGUGUAGGGCUGGGGGUGUUAAGUGUCCCGUAUUGGUUGAGGAGAUGGCUAUUGUCUCCCUAUAUGUUGGUGGGGCAAUCCUCGUCUCAUGAGCUAGCUUUUAGGAUUGAAUUAGACCAAAUAUCCAUGUUUUUAUCAGUACCAAGUGCAGGUAAUUGAAUGCUAAAAAUAUGAGUGUUCUGUCUUCCACAAUAUUGUGAUUGUUGGUGCAGUUAUCUCCAGAUAAUAUAUUUUGAUAAGGUAAAUAUGCAACAGCUCUGCCCUUCUCAAAAAAAAGAUGCUGGGGCUCUAAUGAUUAUUUCCUACUUCCUAGUUGCUUCCGAUAUUUAUCUGUUGGAAUUUGACUGUUAUUUUUGCCUUUUGAUUUCACUAGAUACUUGGUUCGAAUGAGCAAAUGAAAUUUCUUUAGCCAAUGACCCAAUAUAUCUCGACUUUGGACUAUUGGAUAUCUGUCAUAGAGAAGAGGGAUCCACCUUUCUAUUUUUUGAUGGGUUGGUUACUAGCAAUGGAGAAAAUUAAUCACAUUCAAGAGUUUUCUGAUGCUUUGUAUGGGAUUUGAGAGAAAUACCUACUGUUAUGAAUAAAUAUAUUAUGCAGAAAUCUGAUAGAUGAAAGCUGCUCAGAUAGUAAUUUUACAUGAACAUGCAUUCUGCCUCUUAAAACUUUAAGUGCAUUUACUGAUUAGCUUCUCGUGGUUUAGGCAAGAUACUGAAAUAUUACUCCCUUUUCUGGUUUUUCCUUUGAUUGCACCGGAAAACACUGGUUUUUGAAAUUUGGCUGUCUCCAAGACUUCACACUCAUUCAAGCUAUUGCUCUUUCUCUUAUCAGAAGAAAGAGAGCAUUGAGAACAGAAAAGAGAGUGCACUCUCGAGCCAAGAAUAAGUGUCAAAGACAAUAUGCACAAACAAGUCUAUUCAAUGAGUAUAACAUUUUAGCUUUACUAGGGUGGACUGGAAACUAAGCCAACAUUGAUGAACUUGUCUCAUCGGCAAUCUAGUUGACAACCACUCCACUUAGUUUGCUGAGCCUUUCACAUCAUACUGACCUAUCGCCACCGUUUGAAUCUCAAUGGUUUAGUUUAUCAGUGACUCCUCACUUGGACAUUCAGGUACUUUUUCUUCUUGUUUCAAAAUUAGAUUUUCCGAUGAUCUUUUGGUCUCAGAUACCUCUAGUCAAACCCCUCUAUUACGUCUUUUUUUUUUUUUCUGUAAGGACAGGAGACAUGCAGAGUUGUUAGGUAUUCUGUUGCAGACUUGAAUGAUCUCCGUCAUAAAGAUGAUCCACCUUAGGGUGUUGUUGUAUCUUAAUCGUCAGCGACCUAGUAUCUUGGAAACUUAAGAAGCUUGGUUUCAUAGAAAAUUGGAGGAAAUGAACCAAUGAAACGGAAUAGUGAGAGUAAAACCGCAUUACAAAUUGUUUCAAAUUCUGUGGUUCAUGAAAUACUAAAGCACAUAGAUUUUAAUUGUUACUUUAUCAGGCAAAAAAUUUGAAUAGAAUGUAUAACUACCAGUUUUGUUAAUACAAGUGCUUCAGCGCUGCAUAUGCAUUAUGUGUUUUCUGUGUUUCCAUAGUAGCUAAAAUAUUUCAGAUCCUAGAUAGAUUGCAGUAUAUGUCUUCUGGACCUUUUAAGGAAGUUGGGUACAAUUUCAUUUAUCUUCUUAUGAUCAUCCUUUUACCAACUGGAUAAUGGUAAAAAAUUGAUCUGUCAUGAACUCAUGUUUUUCCCUUUCUAAUGAUAUAUUAUUAAAUAUCUUCAGGUUAUUGCAAAUCGAACAGCUGAAAUACUUGGCCAUAAGCGCGGUGACAAACAUGUGCAUCCAAAUGACCAUGUAAAUAGAUCACAAUCUUCAAAUGAUACCUUUCCU
rnacentral:lncRNA from 1 species